UGUUUGUACAUGCGUGUGACUGUAGGAAUGUGAAUUUACAACAUCUUGUAAUGAUUUGGAUGAAAUUCAGGAUGAGGACAGUAAGUCUCAGUCUGUUCAGAUUUGUGUUUUAUUUAUUUCAGGAGGAAACUCGUCGGAAGAGGAGAAUUAGUGACGACAUCGAGCUAUUGUCAGUGACAGACGGUGCCCUUCCGGCUGAAAAAUUCGAUCAUCUCUAUUUAUUGAACACAGCGUUGAGAGAAACACUUGAUACCAUUAAUCGAGUCUCUGUCAUCCUGGAUGUGGAAACGGCGAAUCCGCGGCUUGAGGUGUCUGAGGAUCGGAAGAGUGUGAGAUUGACCGGGACACGGAGGGAUCUCCCUGACACCGGAAGAGGUUCACAGACCGGGCUUGUGUGCUGGGAUCGGAGGGAUUCACAUCGGGGAGACAUUACUGGGAGGUGGAGGUGACGGGGAAUCGGUUGUGGGGUCUGGGAGUCGCCCGCAGAGUCUGUGGAGAGGAAGGAACGGGUCAGACCGAGUCCGGAGACCGGAUUCUGGUUCAUCGCGCGGGGAUGAUGAUAAGAUAAGGGUUUUCACCUCCCCUGUGUCCCUUCUCCCCUGCCGGUCCCAUCCCCGGGAGGGUGGGAGUUUAUCUCAGUUACGAGUCCGGAACAGUUUCAUUUUACAACGCGGAGACCAAGGUCCCCAUCUCCACACCUUCACUGGGAAUAAAUUCACGGAGAAACUUUAUCCUUCCUUCGGCCUUGGGAUACAAACCAGUGGCUGAGAAUCUGCUCCGGUUCCGCUCCGGGUCUGUAAACGGGUCGGGUCCGGGACCGGCGUCGGGAGUAAAUCAGUGUAAAUAUAAAUGUGCAGAGAGUGAAAUAAACACGAUGUGAGAAUUACCGAUCCAUUAAUUUUAGCUGGUUCACCGCAUCCGUCAACGGAACAGAAACACUGCGGAUUCAGCAGCAGCCGCGGCGGCGGGUCCUGAGCUCCCCGGGUUCCCCGGGUGCUAAAUCCCCGGGACUGGACAGGGUAACUGGGGCAAGUGGUGGUGGUGCUGACUGGAAGGGGGAGGUCAGGGUGAAUCUUGGAAAGACGGGACAUGUAGUGAUGGUACCAAAACGCCGGACUGUCAGGGGUCCAGGGCAUCACAGAUCCAGUCGUCAGCAUUCUCAAGCGUGAGGGU